rnacentral:misc_RNA from 1 species
CGCUGCUCCGCGCCGUCGAGUGAUGCGCCCUUUUAUACAAGUUUUAACGCAUCCGAGGAGGACUGGAUACCGUCUCCGGCGCUAUUAGAAAAAUGAACAUUAGGAAGGAUUUGUUAGCAGAAAUGAUUUGUUCUUGCUGCUAGCAUAGCCAGUAAUGGAGAUGCUUUUUCUUUAAUGUUCGAAGAGUCGUAAUCUGUGCUCGCAAAAGCAUUGGGGAACUUUUAGCCAAAACAAUGGAAACGAUACGAGACGAAGACAGACGUAGGCGCCUUAGAGCACUGGAGGAGCGUAUCAAAGAUCCUCGUAGUAUUACGAACGUCGACUGUUUGUUGGAUACAGUCCAAGCUUUAGCAGCAGACUGUGAUCAUCCUAGCGUGAAACGUAUGAAAAAUAUUGAGGCGUAUAUGAAUAGAUAUGACUCCGUAGCUCAGGACAUUUGUAAAAUGCGAAUGCGCACCGACGACUUCACUCAGAUUAAGGUGAUUGGUCGGGGUGCAUUUGGAGAAGUACAGCUGGUGAGACAUAAGUCUACUCAGAAGGUCUAUGCCAUGAAGUUACUUAGCAAGUUUGAAAUGAUAAAACGAUCAGAUUCAGCGUUUUUUUGGGAAGAACGCGACAUAAUGGCCCACGCCAAUUCUCAGUGGAUAGUUCAAUUACACUUCGCGUUUCAAGACCAAAAGUAUCUGUACAUGGUUAUGGACUACAUGCCUGGAGGAGAUUUAGUGAAUCUGAUGUCCAACUAUGAUGUACCGGAAAAGUGGGCAAAGUUCUACUGCGCCGAAGUGGUGCUCGCGCUGGACGCUAUUCACCUGAUGGGAUUUGUACACAGAGACGUGAAGCCAGAUAAUAUGUUAUUGGAUAAAUAUGGCCAUUUGAAGCUGGCAGACUUUGGUACCUGCAUGAGGAUGGACAGUGACGGUUUGGUCAGAUCGGACACAGCAGUGGGGACUCCGGAUUAUAUAUCUCCGGAGGUGCUUCAAUCGCAAGGCGGAGAAGGCGUUUACGGUCGUGAGUGUGAUUGGUGGUCGGUCGGGGUGUUCCUCUAUGAGAUGCUGGUCGGCGAUACUCCGUUCUACGCAGAUUCCCUUGUGGGAACCUACUCCAAGAUCAUGGAUCACCGAAAUUCGUUACACUUUCCCCAAGAGGUGGACAUCUCUCAUUCUGCCCAAAGCCUGAUCUGCGGCUUUCUCACCGAUCGGGCAAUGCGUCUAGGGAGAAACGGCGUCGAGGAAAUAAAAACCCAUCAGUUCUUCAAGAACGAUCAGUGGACUUUCGAGAACCUGCGGGAGUGCGUGCCUCCGGUGGUACCCGAGCUCUCCGGCGACGACGACACCAGCAACUUUGACGACGUGGACAAAGAAGAUGGUCCCGAGGAGAGUUUUCCCGUGCCUAAGGCAUUCUCUGGAAAUCAUUUACCGUUUAUAGGGUUCACGUAUUCCGGAGAUUACCAGCUGAUGUCCUCCGAGGGCAGGGAGUCCGUUGACGGCCUGGAGAAUCACAUCAACAACGGAACCAGCGACGACGUCAAGGUCGCCCAGCUGGAAGGUCUCCUAGACAUGGAGAGGAAGCAGGUGGAGAUCCUGGAGUCUCGUCAGCGAUCGUUGGCCACUCAGCUGGACGGCCUGACUCGCAGAGAGACCGAAUUACGCGAGGAAGCCGGCAGGGCCGACAAGGAGCUGGCCAUCUUGAGGCACAGCUACAAAGAAGCUCAGCGGAGGGUCGACCACGAGACGGAGACUCGGAGGAAGGCCGAAUCGCUGCUGGUCGAGCUCAAGAAGAAGUUCGACGAGGAGCAGACCAGGCGAGCAAGGGAUGCCAGUAACUCUCAACAAACGUCGGAAAGAGUCAUCAGCUUGGAGAAGCAGAUUAAGGAGAUGCAGACCAAGUUGGAGAGGGAGACCGAGACCGUGACGAGACUCAGGAAGCAGGCGACGGAGAUCACCGUGGCUCGGCAGGCCGCGGAACAGAUGGCCGAGGAGCUUCAAGUUGCCAGAACUCAGCUCCAAGCUCAGAGGGAUUCCUUGCAGCAGGAGGUAGCGAGUUUGCAGGGACAACUCUCCAAGGAACGCAGCUCCAGGUCGCAAGCGUCCUCUCUCACGGCCGAACUGGAAACGCGAUUAUCCGCUUUGCACGUGGAGCUUGAGAGAAGUCAGGAGCGCGAAGAAAAGGCUACCUUGGAUAACAGACAGCUGAACGAAAGAGUUUCGGCCUUGGAGAAGGAAGCCGCGAGCUUGACCGUCGAGCUGAAAGCUGCCCAGGCCAGAUACAACCAGGAGGUCGUGGCUCAUCAAGAAACCGAGAGGUCGAGGAUGUUGUCGAAGGAGGAGGCCAACCUGGAAGUCGUCAAAGCACUGCAAGCCAAACUGAACGAGGAGAAGAGCGGUAGGCAGCGGGCCGAGCUACUCGCCCAGGAAAAGGAGCGACAGACUUCGAUGCUCUCCGUCGACUACCGGCAGAUCCAGCAGCGCCUGCAGAAGCUGGAGGGCGAGCACCGCCAGGAGGUCGAGAAGGUCAAGGCUCUUCAAGGUCAGGUCGAGCAGGAACAACAGAAGAGGAACGUCCUUCAGGUCGAACUGGCUCAGCAGUCUUCGGAGGCCGGCAGGCUCAGGGCCCGGGAGCAGCAGCUGGUCGGCGAGGUGGCCCAGUUGAGGGAGGCGAAGAGGCAGAUCGAGGAGGAGCUGCAUCAUCUGAAAACCCAGAGGAACGUCGAUCUCCUACAGACGAAGGAACUGCAGGAACAGCUGGAGGCCGAGGCUUACUUUUCGACCUUGUACAAGACGCAAACUCAAGAGCUCCGAGAAGAACUCGACGAGAAAACGAGACUUCAGCAGGAAUUGGAGGAAGAGCGCAGCUCAUUGGUUCACCAGCUUCAGCUGUCGUUGGCCAGAGGAGACAGCGAAGCUUUGGCGAGGUCGAUAGCGGAGGAGACGGUGGCGGAUCUGGAGAAGGAGAGGACAAUGAAGGAGCUGGAGUACAAGGACAGCGUGGCCAAACACCACCAGGAAGUGAGCUCGAAGGAUCAGUCCAUCAACAGACUAAAGGACAGUGAAAACGAGCUGAAGAAGACCAUGGACCAGUACCUGAAGGAAAAGGAAGAGGCGAACAAGCGCCUGAAAGAGCUGCAGGAUCAACUGGGCAAGGCGCAAUUUAAUGCCGAGGAGAUCGACCGGCUUAGUAGCAAGUUAAAGACGGAACAGCUUCUCAAGCAACAGGCGGUCAACAAAUUAGCAGAAAUCAUGAAUCGGAAGGAUCUGUCCUCGGGAAGCAAGACCAAGAACAAGGCUUCCUCGGCCGACCUUAGGAAGAAGGAGAAGGACUGUCGGCGACUGCAGCAGGAGCUCACGCACGAGAGGGAGAAGUACAGUCAGCUGGCAGCUAAGUGGCAGAAGGACCUUCAGGAUCUCCAGGCGCAACUCGUCGAGGAGAAUCAGGCGAAGUUGAGGCUGCAAAUGGAGCUGGACUCAAAGGACUCGGAGAUCGAGACCUUGCAGAUGAAGAUCGCCUCGAUUAACUCGGAGACCGCGAGCGUGUCGUCCGUGGAGAACGACGGGGAGGACUCGGUGCUCUCGGAGCACGGGGCCAUGAGGUUGGAGGGCUGGCUCAACGUGCCCAAUAAACAGAACAUCAAGAGGCACGGCUGGAAGAAGCAGUAUGUCGUGGUCUCCUCCAAGAAGAUCAUCUUCUACAACAGCGAGAACGACAAGAUGAACGCCGACCCGGUGUUGAUACUGGACCUGAGCAAAGUCUUCCACGUGAGGUCCGUCACUCAGGGCGACGUGAUCCGUGCAGAUGCCAAAGAUAUUCCUAGGAUAUUUCAGUUACUCUACGCCGGUGAGGGUGAAGCAAGGCGUCCAGGGGACGAGGGUAACGCCUUACCCGGCGUCGAGUUGCCCCAGUUCACCGACAAGCCCGGCACGCAACCCCUGAAGGGUCACGAGUUCAUAUCCAUUUCUUAUCAUAUGCCGACCACUUGCGAGGUCUGUUCGAAACAGCUCUGGCACAUGUUUCGCCCGCCUCCCGCGCUUGAGUGUCGACGGUGUCGCAUCAAGGUUCACAAGGAACACCUGGACAAGAAGGAGGAUGCCAUAGCUCCGUGUAAGCUGCACUACGACCCCAACAGCGCCCGUGAACUUUUGGUGCUCGCGGGCAGCCCCGACGACCAGAAGUACUGGGUUACCCGGCUCUCGCGGCGCAUUCAGAAGUGCGGUUACAAAGCGAACUCGCACGUGGACGGCACCGGCCAGCGUGUAUCGCCAAGGUAGCGUAGCCGGGCAGCUCAGCCGUGGACUAAGUAGCUCUUGUGUUGUGGCGUCGCAUGAUUGGGUAUGGAGAGGGAAUCUACGAGAUCUACGUUGAAGCCUUAUUUAUCGGUUCAACAGAGGUCCGCAACUUUACCGGCGAACGCUAGUAUGGGCAAGU